UGAGUAACCUGCCCUUAACUCUGGGAUAAGCCUAGGGAAAACUGGGUCUAAUACCGGAUAUGACUCCUCAUCGCAUGGGUGGGGGGUGGAAAGCUUUAUUGUGGUUUUGGAUGGACUCGCGGCCUAUCAGCUUGUUGGUGAGGUAAUGGCUCACCAAGGCGACGACGGGUAGCCGGCCUGAGAGGGUGACCGGCCACACUGGGACUGAGACACGGCCCAGACUCCGUACGGGAGCAG
rnacentral:rRNA from 1 species